rnacentral:misc_RNA from 1 species
AAAAAAACCCUUUCAGUUUCAGCUAAGAAAAACCCCAAUAUCCCAAAAGUAUCCAAGGAAAUACAGGAAAUCCGAGUCGACCCAAUUCGGACUCUGCCGGAAAACCCGAAACUACUACCUGCUCCGGCUCCGGCUCCGAUACCGGAACCUGAUUCUUUCGAGGAGAAAACCCAGAAUUCGGAUGAUUAUCAGAGAACACUCAUUGAGAUCGGAAAGGGUCAGAAGAUUGCCAAUCCGGGUCGGGUUGGGCAAGGUGGCGGGUCUAGUCAUGGUAGUGAGGAAGCUCGUACUAAUGAGCAGGCUAUCAUUGCUUUGCCGGAGGUUUCGUAUUUGGGGUGGGGUCAUUGGUAUACACUGAGAGAGCUUGAAAUUUCAACAAAUUAUUUUGCUGAGGAAAAUGUGAUUGGGGAAGGUGGCUAUGGAAUUGUUUACCGUGGAGUUAUGGAAGAUAACAGUAAAGUCGCUGUUAAGAAUUUGCUCAAUAACAGGGGACAAGCAGAGA